GACGAACGCUGGCGGCGUGCCUAAUACAUGCAAGUCGAACGAACCGCGACUAAGUGCUUGCACUAAGUCAAGGUGAGUGGCGAACGGGUGAGUAACACGUGGGUAACCUACCUCAUAGUGGGGGAUAACAGUCGGAAACGACUGCUAAUACCGCAUAGGACAUAGGAUCACAUGAUCCAGUGAGGAAAGGUGGCGCAAGCUAUCGCUAAGAGAUGGACCCGCGGUGCAUUAGCUAGUUGGUAGGGUAAAGGCCUACCAAGGCGAUGAUGCAUAGCCGACCGGAGAGGGUGAGCGGCCACAUGGGAACUGAGACACGGCCCAAACCCCUACGGGAGGCAGCAGGAGGGAAUCUUCCGCAAGGGGCGAAAGUCGGACGGAGCAACGCCGCGUGAGUGAAGAAGGUCUUCGGAUCGUAAAGCUCUGUUAUUAGAGAAGAACAGAUCAGAAAGUAACUGUUCGCGGUGGGACGGUACCUAACCAGAAAGCCACGGCUAACUACGUG
rnacentral:rRNA from 1 species